rnacentral:misc_RNA from 1 species
UGGAGCAUAUGCAUCGAUGUAGAGUUUUUGGA